rnacentral:rRNA from 1 species
CAGUAGCCGCGGGAAUACGAAGGGGGCUAGCGUUGUUCGGAAUUACUGGGCGUAAAGGGCGCGUAGGCGGCCAUUCAAGUUAGAUGUGAAAGCCCUGGGCUCAACCUAGGAAUUGCAUUUGAUACUGUUUGGCUUGAGUUCGGGAGAGGUGAGUGGAAUUCCCAGUGUAGAGGUGAAAUUCGUAGAUAUUGGGAAGAACACCAGUGGCGAAGGCGGCUCACUGGACCGACACUGACGCUGAGGCGCGAAAGCGUGGGGAGCAAACAGGAUUAGAUACCCCAGUAGUCCCUGUUUCUUAUAC